UGGCGGUCAUAGCGGAGGGGAAACACCCGAUCCCAUUCCGAACUCGGAAGUUAAGACCUCCAACGAUGCGGCUUGUACUG
rnacentral:rRNA from 1 species